GCACGGAACUCCUGCUGGACCGAUGGAAUGCGUAGAUAUCAAGAGGAACGCCAGAGGCGAAGUCGGUUGCGCUGGGCUUGACCUGACGCUGAGGUGCGAAAGUCAGGGGAGCGAACGGGAUUAGAUACCCCGGUAGUCCUGGCCAUAAACGAUGUCUACUAGAUCUGAGGUGUUCUGACACACUUCUGCUCGAAACAAAAGCGUUAAGUAGACCGCCUGGGGAGUACGGUCGCAAGGCUAAAACUCAAAGGAAUUGACGGGGGCUCACACAAGCGGUGGAGCAUGUUGCUUAAUUCGAUGCAACGCGAAGAACCUUAUCCUGGGCUUGACAUGCUUGGAUGCCCAUCUAGAAAUAGAGUAGGCUGCCCUUCGGGGUGAAACUUGCACAGGUGCUGCAUGGCUGUCGUCAGCUCGUGUCGUGAGAUGUUGGGUUAAGUCCCGUAACGAGCGAAACCCUUGUCGUUAGUUGUCCAGCGAGUAAAGUCGGGGAUCUCUAACGAGACUGCCGGUGUUAAACCGGAGGAAGGUGGGGAUGACGUCAAGUCCUCAUGGCCUUUAUGCCCAGGGCUGCAAACGUGCUACAAUGGCGUGUACAAACCGAUGCAAGACCGCGAGGUGGAGCAAAUCGGAAAAAGCACGCCCCAGUUCGGAUUGGAGUCUGCAACUCGACUCCAUGAAGUUGGAAUCGCUAGUAAUCGCAGAUCAGCAAUGCUGCGGUGAAUGUGUUCCUGAGCAUUGUACACACCGCCCGUCAAGUCAUG
rnacentral:rRNA from 1 species